rnacentral:lncRNA from 1 species
UUCAGGUACACCAAUCAGAUGUAGAUUUGGUCUUUUCACAUAGUCCUAUAUUUCUUGGAGGCUUUGUUUCUUUUUACUUCUUUUUCUCCAAACUUUUCUCGCUUCAUUUCAUUGAUUUGAUCUUCAAUCACUGAUACCCUUUCUUCCAGUUGAUCAAAUCGGCUACUGAAGCUUGUGCAUUUGUCACGUAGUUCUCAUGCCAUGGUUUUCAGCUCCAUCAGGUCCUUUAAGGACUUCUCUGCAUUGGUUAUUCUAGUUAGCCAUCUAUCUAAUCAUUUUUCAAGGUUUUUAACUUCUUUGUGAUGGGUUCAAACCUUCUCCUUUAGCUUGGAGAAGUUUGAUCAUCUGAAGCCUUCUUCUCUCAACUCGUCAAAGUCAUUCUUCAUCCAGGUUUGUACCGUUGCUGGUGAAGAGCUGCAUUCCUUUGGAGGAGGAGAGGCGCUCUGAUUUUUAGAAUUUUCAGUUUUUCUGCUCUGUUUUUUCCCCAUCUUUGUGGUUUUAUCUACCUUAGGUCUUUGAUGAUGGUGAUGUACAGAUGGGGUUUUGGUGUGGAUGUCCUUUCUGUUUGUUAGUUUUCCUUCUAACAGUCAGGACCCUCAGCUGCAGGUCUGUUGGAGUUUGCUGGAGGUCCACUCCAGACAGGGACAUUUAAGUCUGCAGAGGUUUCUGCUGCCUUUUGUUCAGCUAUGCUCUACCCCCAGAGGUGGAGUCUAUAUGUUGGACGGGGAUGCAGUGACCAGGAAGAAUUAAACUUGUGGACAAUAAAAGUCUGUGAGUUGUUUGGUCCUGACUUAGGCCAAAUGAAGGGCAUAAUUUUUAGAGAAUUAAAGAUGUUGCAUGAGAGCACAGCCAUGCUGAAACUAAAGAGGCUGAGUGCCUUAUAGAAACAGAAAUCACUAUUUUAACAUACAACAAUUU